AACGAACGCUGGCGGCAGGCUUAACACAUGCAAGUCGAACGCACCUUUCGGGGUGAGUGGCAGACGGGUGAGUAACGCGUGGGAAUCUACCCUUCUCUACGGGAUAGCUCCGGGAAACUGGAAUUAAUACCGUAUACGUCCUGAGGGAGAAAGAUUUAUCGUGGAAGGAUGAGCCCGCGUUGGAUUAGCUAGUUGGUGGGGUAAAGGCCUACCAAGGCGACGAUCCAUAGCUGGUCUAAGAGGAUGAUCAGCCACAUUGGGACUGAGACACGGCCCAAACUCCUACGGGAGGCAGCAGUGGGGAAUAUUGGACAAUGGGCGCAGGCCUGAUCCAGCCAUGCCGCGUGAGUGAUGAAGGCCCUAGGGUUGUAAAGCUCUUUCAGGGGGGACGAUAAUGACGGUACCCACAGAAGAAGCCCCGGCUAACUUCGUG
rnacentral:rRNA from 1 species